rnacentral:tRNA from 1 species
GGCGAAGUAGCUCAGUGGUAGAGCGCAUGCUUUGCAUGUAUGAGGUCCUGGGUUCGAUCCUCUGUAUCUCCA